rnacentral:rRNA from 1 species
UACGGGGGGGGUAAGCGUUGUUCGGAAUUACUGGGCGUAAAGGGCUCGUAGGCGGCCAACUAAGUCAUACGUGAAAUCCCUCAGCUUAACUGGGGAACUGCGUGUGAUACUGGAUGGCUUGGAUUUGGGAGAGGGAUGCGGAAUUCCAGGUGUAGCGGUGAAAUGCGUAGAUAUCUGGAGGAAUACCGGUGGCGAAGGCGGCAUCCUGGACCAUAACUGACGCUGAGGCGCGAAAGCUAGGGGAGCAAACGGGG